GUUGCGAACGGGUGAGUAACGCGUAGGUAACCUGCCUGGUAGCGGGGGAUAACAUUCGGAAACGGAUGCUAAAACCGCAUAGGUUCUACAGUCGCAUGACUGAAGAAGGAAAAGAGGCUUCGGCUUCUGCUGAUGGAUGGACCCGCGGUGCAUUAGCUAGUUGGUGAGGUAACGGCUCACCAAGGCCGUGAUGCAUAGCCGACCUGAGAGGGUGAUCGGCCACAUUGGGACUGAGACACGGCCCAAACUCC
rnacentral:rRNA from 1 species